CCUACGGGAGGCAGCAGUGAGGAAUAUUGGUCAAUGGCCGCAGGGCUGAACCAGCCAAGUCGCGUGAGGGAUGACGGUCCUAUGGAUUGUAAACCUCUUUUGUCAGGGAGCAAAGGGCGCCACGUGUGGCGUUUUGCGAGUACCUGAAGAAAAAGCAUCGGCUAACUCCGUGCCAGCAGCCGCGGUAAUACGGAGGAUGCGGACGUUAUCCGGAUUUAUUGGGUUUAAAGGGUGCGCAGGCGGAAUGUCAAGUCAGCGGUAAAAUUUCGGGGCUCAACCCCGUCGUGACGUUGAAACUGGGGGUCUUGAGUGAGCGUGAAGUAUGCGGAAUGCGUGGUGUAGCGGUGAAAUGCAGAGAUAUCACGCAGAAGUCCGAUUGCGAAGGCAGCAUACCGGCGCUCAACUGACGCUCAUGCACGAAAGCGUGGGUAUCGAACAGGAUUAGAUACCCGGGUAGUC
rnacentral:rRNA from 1 species